rnacentral:lncRNA from 10 species
UACCUGGUGGAAUUUGAGCUGUGAUCAGAUCCAUAUUGUAGCACCCUUCGGAGGGCCGGCUCAGUGAGUGCAGCCGCUUAGUGCAGCUCUGGCUGUGGUGUCCAGAGUGUUCGCCCUGCAGCCCUGAGAAGAACUGAAUUUGAGCUUCAGUUGCCUGUUGAAAGAGCCAGGGAGGCCAGGAAUUUUGGAAGUUGCCCCUGGCCAUCCACUAUCAAGUAUGUGAAGGAAGCAGAGGGUCCCACCUCUGAGGUCAGACAAAUGGAAGGUGAAUGCAAAUGAUGCCUCCUUGCAAAUGAUGCCAGGGAAAGCCUCCUGGGCCCCGUGUGUUGUGCGGACAGGUGGCCAGGCCAGAGGUCCCACUGGACUUCACUCUGAAAUUCCAGACAGCAGGAAGUAAACAAAGUGCUUUACGAGCGAGUUCCCGCGGUCUGCUGGUCUUUCCCUGCACUUCCGUCCGACCUCGGUCACAGCCCUGGGUGGGGUCAGAUAUUUCUACCCAUACUCAGGGCCACCUGUUGCCCCAAGUUCUCACUUCCUGGCAGUGUCCCUCUGCUAGCCCUUGCUGCUGCCCCCACCUUCCUCUGUCUGCCCGCCACCCCCCAGCCUUUUCCUUGGUCACAGUUGUCCUUUUGUUACCUGCGGUUAUCAGAAACAUGGUCAAAUAGGGUAUAAGCUUUUAGUAUCCCAUUCAUUUGAAAUUUUAACCUCGUUUUUAAUAAAACAAUGCAUGCAUAUAAUUAGUCAAAUGAUACUUUAAAAACUACAGUAAUAAUGAAAAACAGCACUCUCCUGCCUUUUGAUCCAUGGGUCCUGCUCUCUAUAGGAAACAAAUUUCCAUUUCUUAAGCAGUUUCUUCUGUUUCCCUCCAUAUUUCAUUUUCCUUUCUCUUCCUUUCUUUUUUUGUUUUGUUUUGUUUUUUGAGACAGGGUCUCACUCUGUUGCCCAGGCUGGAGUGCAGUGGUGCAAUCACGAUUCACUGUAACCUCGACUUCCCAGGCUCAGGCGAUUCUCCCACCUCAGCCUCUCAAGUAGCUGGGAAUACAUGUGUGUGCCACUACGCUCAGCUAAUUUUUUGUAUUUUUAGAAGAGAUGGGGUCUCACUGUGUUGCCAGGCUAGCCUCAAACUCCUAGGCUCAAGAGAUCCACCCACC